CUCCAACCGCGCCGCCGGCGGCGCCACAGGCGACUCAGCUGCCGCCAGCACAACCUCCACGGGUGGCUCGUCCCGUGCCGCGGCCAUCACCACGGGCGACUGCCGCCAUCGCCCCCCACCGCGUCUGCCCGACUCCCCAGCGUCGAUAAGCACCCAGGCCAAUAUACUGCAGUUGUACCUCGCCUGCAUCCGGAACACUCUGAGGCUCCUCCUGCUGCUACUGUUCCCAGUUCAUCACGAGCCAACAAGCCUAGUGCAGAUGCAAACCUGGUGCCACUACCGCCACCACUUUAUUGAGAAGAAAGAAAGUUUCCUCAUCAUCAGCUAAGCGGAAGGAAUCCGGAAUGAAACAACGAAAAGAACAACCAACAAAACAGUUAAAGUCACCAGCAGAGCCAAUGUCGUCACUCAUUCCAGCAAGAUCAACAGGGAUAAGGAUGAUGCUAUCAUCCCCGAGGGUAUCCCCAAGGUGGAUGUCUCCAUCUACAACAUUGGCAAACUCCCCACUACAGCCCCCAACAUCUGCUUUGGAGAAAAAAAGAAACAAUCUUGGUCAUGGAUCUCCACAUCUGAUUAAAAGGCGCAAACUUACAUCUGAGAUAUGGGAAGAUUUUGAGGCAAUAUAUGAUGGUGGAAAUGUGGCUCAAGCUCAGUGCUUACACUGCCAUAAGUUAUUCAAGGUGUGGUUGGGGGUGGAGGUCCGGCAGCACGGCGUUGCCAGAAGCGUCGCCAUCAACCCAGCCCGAAGAAGACCCUGUGAAGGGUGAUUUCACUAUGCUUAGUGGCUCAAUACCAUGGCAUGGC